AUGUUGAGGAGCUCCACGGCUCCCUCCUUCUCCCUCCUCCCUGUCCAAGCUUUCCUCCUCUCUCCUGCUCCUCUCUCUCGCUUUCCUUGCUGCCAAAAGCCUUUCCCAUUCACCUACCUUGUCACCAAAAACCUUUCCCUUUCACCUCCCUUGCCACCAAAAGCCUUUCCCCUUCAUCUCCCUUGCCGCCAAAAGCCUUUCCUCUUCACCCCCUUGCCGCCAAAAGCCUGUCCCCUUCGCCUCCCUUGCCGCCAAAUCCCUUUCCCCUCACCUCCCUUGCUGCCAAAAGCCUUCCCCCUUCACCUCCCUUGCCACCAAAAGCCUUUCCCCUCACCUCCCUUGCUGCCAAAAGCCUUUCUCCUUCACCUCUCUUGCUGCCAAAAGCCUUUCUCCUUCACCUCCCUUGCCGCCGAAAGCCUUUCCCCUUCACUUCCCAAGUGUGUAAUGUAUUUUUGGAUGAUGUGCUUAGAUCCCAGUAAGGUAGCCUUUUGCAGUUGACAGAUCAUAAUUUUGUCUAUUGUUAUUGUUAUUAUUAUUAUCAUUAUUAUGUACACAACAAGAUUAGUACACAGCAAACAAGAUCAUUAUGCUGGCUGUUGUAUAGGAUCACACGUCGAACACUUCCCAAGUGUCUAGGACUGUGUGAUGUAUCAGCGAAUAAUGUAUACACAUCUGAAUAGGGUGGCCUUUUGCAGAUGACAGGUGGUAUUUUGUCAGCGCCGAUUGUGUUUAAGUGCAGGCCAAGGUUUUUAGGCACUGCAGCCAGUUUACCGAUCAUCAUUGGGACCACCCUUACUGGCUUGAGCCAGAGUCUUUGCAGUUUGAUCUUUAAAUCCUUAUAUUGUGGCAGCUUUUCCAGUUGCUUCUCAUUAAUCCUGCUGUUGCCUGGGAUUGCAACAUUGAUGAUCCAUACUUUGGUUUUUCCAUGAUCAUGAGGUCAGGAGUCUUGUGUCACCCCAAAGGAGAUUCAUCAGAGAAUGCAUGCUCUUUAUGGUUAUUGUGCUGAUGUGAGUCCUGUGCGUUGUUGGGCGAGUAAAUUUAAAGAUGUUGAGGUGGGAACAUCUGACUUGUGUGACAAACAAAGAGUUGGACGUCCUGUGAUAGCAGCCACCAAGUUUCACAACCAAAAGGUUGACAGAUUGAUUCAGGAUGAUCGUCGUAUCACUCAGAGAGAAAUUUCAAGCAUAAUCGGCAUUUCACAAGAACAUGUGGGUCACAUUAUUGCUUUGCUUGGCUGUUGAAAGAUCUGUGCACGAUGGGUCCUGUGAGAUGCCGGUUGAGUGUUGACUUCUUCUGUGACGGCUUCAGAAAACUUGUUCAUAGUUGGCAGAAAUGUAUCCAAUUGUCUGGUGAUGAUGUGAAAAAGUGAACAGUGGUAGUUAAAGAGAACAUUCUAAGGAUUAUUUCUGUGUUUGAUUUAUUAAAAUACUCCCAUCCCAACCCAAGUAACGAAGGUGGAGGCAUUACUUUUCAUUUAACCCUCGUAAGAUAUAAAUGUAGCUGAUACAUUGAAAUGUUAGUCCAGUUGGUCCUCCCCAUCGGUGAGUUUGAUUUUUGUGGAAUUGAUUACUAAUGGAUUGGAUAAAAAUGUUUUCUCUAAUAAUCUCAAGGUCCUCUUAUUUGCAUAACCCAAUGAGUACACCUUAUUUAUGGGUCCCCCAACUUCCCACGCUCUCUGCAUGCCUCGGUCCUGUCCGUCAUUUCCUUCUCUGUCUCAAGAAAGACAACAGACACCCAACACAUUGUUUUUAGACAGCUUCACUUCCCUUUGUUGGGUUCUCUUGGCUUCGCUGCCAGAAAUCACAUCAGUCUUUUCACUUUCUGCACAAGCGAUGGGUCUGUUGUGGUUGGAUACUGCUGUGGAGGAGUUUCUCAAAGCAUGGAAGAUAUGCCUAACCAGAAUUGGUCAUAGUUUUUCACCUUCUUUGCCCAACAGUGCUGGUGCAUCAUUAAACUACAGAUCCCAGAUUCCAUAGCAUUGAACCAUGGCAGUUAAAGUGGUGCCACACUGCAUUUAUGCUGCAGCGUAGAUGGACACGAAUCACUCUGGUCCAAGUUUGGUACCAAGUUUGGUCUAUCCUCAAGAAUGAGCAUCCAUUCAGUAGAAUGAAUGUGAAAGAAACUCCAUGAUGACAGAUAGAUUUCCCACUAAUUGGACUGUAUCUUUGUAGAAACCUUUCUGACUCCUCAUAUUAUCAGGUCUUGAUAAGAGGGUUUGCAAAGCGAUUGACUCGCCAGUCGAAAUAUUGCCGGAAAAGCAUAACCUCCGACAAAAGGUCUCUUUCCCGUCAUCAGAAAAAGUGGUGCUUUCCUAUAUCACUGCAUGAGUUCUUUCCCUCUUUUGCUGAAAGUGUGAGACAGGAAACCUCAAAGGAGACAGGGUCAGACAGGAAGCCAUGGGAAAUGCUAUUCGUUGCCUCUGGCCAACAACAUCAAUACUCACCGAAGCCAACAACUGGAUUGGAAACCAAUGUGCAGAAGCCACUAUCAUUAGAGAUGCUGGAGGAAUUGAAUGGUUGCAGAUUCCGAUACAGACUGAGCUCAUCCCCACCUCCCUGGAUAAUGCGUGAACAAGACACACGAUUUCUUAGUAAUUUGAAUGUUGUGACAAAUGAUCAAAAUAUGAUUUGUAAUGGAGUGUGUUGAAAUGGAGGACAGCGGACUGUUGAUUUUCUGGUGUCCCUUCAAUUUAUUGCUGAUUUAUGGUGACUCUAAGGCAGUGUUUCUCAACCUGGGGGUCGGGAUCCCUGAGCGAGUCGCAAGGAGGUGUCAGAGGGGUCGCCAAAAACCAUCAGAAAACAAAAUAUUAAUCUACAGGUCUUCCAGAGGUACGUGAACUACAUCUCAACCUGAAUUCCAAACUGUGCAAAAACCCAAUCCGAACCGUAACAAUAAUUAUCAUACUAUUGUCAUUAUUAAGUACAUAUUAAUGCACCCUUUUCCCAUUAAUAUGAAGGUUGAAUGAAAAGUAAUGCCUCCACCUUCGUACCUCCUCAACAGAUGGCAGUACUGGUAUGUGGCAGGUACUGGCGUGUUCAGUAGACUCUCCUCUACAGUUCCAUUUGGCAGGAAGCCUUAGCAUUGAAUGGUUGUGUUGUUAAAGUGUGAAGUAUGGAACCCCUGCACAGACGGUCAGUCAAUGCGACUUAAGCAACGUGCAGUCAUUGAAUUCUUGACAGCAGAAGGUGUCACCUCAAAGGAGAUUCAUCAGAGAAUGCAAGUUGUUUAUGGUGAUUGUGUUGAUGUGAGUCCUGUGCAUUGUUGGGCAAGUAAGUGUAAAGAUGUUGAGAUGGGAACAUCUGACUUGCAUGACAAACAAAGAGAUUGACGUCCUGUGACAGCAACCACUGAUUCAGGAUGAUUGUUGUAUCAUUCAGAAAGAAAUUUCAAGCAUAAUGGGCAUUUCACAAGAACCUGUGGGUCACAUAUUGCUUUGCUUGGCUGUUGGAAGAUCUGUGCACGAUGGGUCCUGUGAGACACUGGUUGCAGAAACAGUGUCGACUUCUUCCGUGACAGCUUCAGAAAACUUGUUCAUCGAUGGCAGAAAUGUAUCCAAUUGUCUGGUGAUUAUGUAGAAAAGUGAAUAGUGGUAGUUAAAGAGCACAUUCUAAGGAUUAUUUCUGUGUUUGAUUUAUCAAAAUAUUCCAAUCCAAACCCAAGUAACGAAGGUGGAGGCAUUAGUUUUCAUUCAAAACUCAUAUAUACUUCAUGUAUGUAUCAGAAGUGGCACAGUAUGUUAAAGCGCUGAACUGCUGAGCUUGUGGACCAAAAGGUCCCAGGUUCAAAUCCCAGGAGCGGAAUAAGCGCCUGCUGUUAGCCCCAGCUCCUGCCAACCUACCAGUUCGAAAACAUGCAAACGUGAGUAGAUCAAUAGGUACCGCUCCGGCGGGAAGGUAACGGCGCUCCAUGCAGUCAUGCCGGCCACAUGACCUUGGAGGUGUCUAUGGACAAUGCUGGCUAUUCGGCUUAGAAAUGGAGAUGAG
ensembl:lncRNA